UACGUAGGGGGCAAGCGUUGUCCGGAUUUAUUGGGCGUAAAGAGCGUGUAGGCGGUUUGGUAGGUCCGCUGUGAAAACUCGAGGCUCAACCUCGAGACGCCGGUGGAAACCAUCAGACUAGAGUCCGGAAGAGGAGAGUGGAAUUCCUGGUGUAGCGGUGAAAUGCGUAGAUAUCUGGAGGAACACCGGUGGCGAAGGCGGCAUCCUGGACCAAUUCUGACGCUGAGGAGCGAAAGCCAGGGGAGCAAACGGG
rnacentral:rRNA from 1 species